UUAUUAUUUUCGUUUUAAAGCAGGUUUGACAAUUCUCUCCCCCUAAAAAAUUUCGUCCCCGACAUUUAUAUCACUGCUGUUUCAUGUUGCAGUCAUUGCUAUCAUUGACCCUCGGGUAGUAUUCAACAUUCACCAAAAAUGUUCUUUACUUACCUGAAUUUAAGUUCAAUCUUAUUUCUGUCAGUAAGUUUACCAAUACCUUAUCAUGUUAUCUAAUGUUUUAUCAUGAUCAAUGCUAUAUUCAGAAUCUGACAUCUUCUAGGAGGAUUGGUUUAGCUAAAGCUCAAGGGGGCCUAUAUGCUAUGGUAGAUCCUGCAGUUCCUACAUCAACAUUACCACCACCUGCUAUCACACUUUCAACUGUCACACCAAUAGAUCUUUCUUCUGCCAAUGGUCACAAUCAGUUCAAUCUUUGGCAUUUUAGAUUAGGACAUCUCUCUGCUGCUAGAUUAGCCAUCAUACAAAAUAAGUUUCCUUUUGUUGAUUCUCCAUUGACUGAAUCUGUAUGUGACAUAUGUCAUUUUGCUAAAGAGAAGAAAUUACCUUUCUAUUCUAGUGUAUCUCAAACUAGUGGUGUAUUUGAUAUUGUACAUGUUGACAUAUGGGGCCCAUAUUCUGUUACUGGUAUACAUGGUCAUAGAUAUUUUCUUACUAUUGUAGAUGAUUUCUCUAGACAUACUUGGAUCUUUCUUUUGAAGCACAAAUCAGAAACACCAUCUCUUAUUCAGUCCUUUACUGCUCUUGUUUUCACUCAAUUUUCUGUCAAAAUAAAAGUUAUCAGAAGUGACAAUGGUCCAGAAUUUUCCAUGCCUUCGUUUUAUUCAUCACAAGGUAUCAUACAUCAAACAACAUGUGUUGAAACCACCCAGCAAAAUGCCAAAGUAGAAAGAAAACACCAACAUAUCGUCAAUGCAGGAAGAGCACUCUUGUUUCAAGCUAACUUACCUAAAACCUUUUGGACUUAUGCUGUUCUUCAUUCUGUUUACCUUAUUAACAGAAUUCCCACACCAUUACUGAAAAAUAAAUCUCCAUAUGAAGUAUUACACAAUUCUCUUCCUGAUUUGUCCAAUUUGAAAGUCUUUGGCUCAUUAUGCUUUGCUAGCACUUUAACUAAUCAUAGAACAAAACUAGAUCCUAAAGCAAGAAAAUGUCUUUUCCUUGGAUAUAAAAAAUGGUACCAAAGGUUAUGUUCUUUUUGAUCUUGUCACUAGAGAAAUUUUCCUGUCUAGAAAUGUCAUUUUCUAUGAAUCUAUUUUUCCAUAUUCUUCCUCAUUUCCUGUCCAACCUUCUUUCAUCACUUCCUGUUUCUUUACCACAAGAUAUCACUGUUCCCACUUCAGAUUUUCCUCUUCCACAUUCAUUUUCACCUUCUCCUACAUCAUCUUUAUCUCCACCAAGACAAUCACAUAGACCUCGAAAACCACCUUCUUACCUACAGGACUAUCACUGUAACAUGGCACCUUUAGCUGCAAAAACCAUUUCUCCAGGUAUUCUUUAUCCACUUUCUGCUUUCUUAUCAUAUCGUUCUCUUUCCUCAACAUAUAAACAUUUUGUUUUAAAUUCUUCUAGCUUAGUUGAACCUAGGACAUAUUCCCAAGCUAUUAAACAGGACAGUUGGAAAGAAGCUAUGAUGACUGAAAUAAAAGCUUUGGAGCAAAACAACACUUGGGAACUUGUUGACCUUCCAAAUGGUAAGACACCUAUAGGUUGUAAAUGGGUCUAUAAGAUCAAGUUAAAAUCAGAUGGAUCUAUAGAGAGAUAUAAAGCAAGAUUGGUAGCUAGGGGAUAUACCCAAACAGAAGGCAUUGAUUAUUUUGACACAUUUUCUCCCGUUGCCAAAAUGACAACAGUGAGAUUGCUUUUAGCCAUGGCAGCUGCAAAUAAUUGGUUUCUUCAGCAGUUGGAUGUGAAUAAUGCCUUUUUACAUGGGGACUUAAAUGAAGAAGUUUACAUGGUUUUACCUUUGGGAUUUCAAUCAUCUAAACCCAAUCAAGUAUGAAGGUUGUUGAAGUCUCUAUAUGGGUUAAAACAAGCUAGCAGACAAUGGUUUUCGAAAUUAUCUAUUGCUUUGAUGUCAAUAGGCUACACUCAAUCUAAGUCUGACUAUAGCUUAUUUGUGAAAUCCUCAACUUCUUCUUUUACAGCCUUGCUAUAUGUGGAUGACAUCAUCCUUGCAGGCAAUAAUUUCUGUGAGAUUGACCAUGUUAAGAAGUUCCUUGGUGAUUCUUUUAAAAUCAAGGAUUUGGGCCAAUUUCUUGGACUUGAGAUUGCAAGGUCUUCUAAAAGGCUUAGUUCUUAAUCAGAGAAAGUAUGCUUCGGAGAUUCUGUCAGGUGUUGGUGAUUUGGCUUCUAAGCCUGCUUCCACUCCUAUGGAUUGUUCUUUGAAGCUAAAGAAGGAUGCUGGUGUUGCUCUUUCAAAUCCAGCUUCAUACAGAAGGAUGAUUGGUAUACUACUUUACUUAAUAACAACAAGACCAGAUUUGACUUUUGCUGUUCAACAGUUAAGCCAAUAUCUGGCUAAGCCAUAUGAUGUUCAUCUACAAGCUGUCCGCAGAGUGUUGAGGUAUAUUAAAGCUUCUCCAGGAAAUGGCUUGUUCUUUUCUGCCAAUUCCUCAAUGCACUUAAAAGGUUUCUCUGAUUCAGAUUGGGCAGGAUGUAUAGAUACUACGAGAUCAAUUACAGGGUUUUGUGUUUUUAUUGGCAAUUCCUUGGUUUCCUGGAAAUCUAAGAAACAAACUACUAUAUCUAGAUCUUCCUCUGAAGCUGAAUAUAGAGCCCUAGCUUCUGUUACAUGUGAAAUUCAGUGGCUUACAUAUUUGCUCAAUGAUUUUUCUGUUCCUUUUAAGCAGCCUGCUCUUGUUUAUUGUGACAAUCAGUCUGCAUUACACAUUGCAGACAAUCCAACUUUCCAUGAAAGAACUAAGCACAUAGAGUUGGAUUGCCAUUUGGUUAGAGAAAAGGUUCAGCAGGGUCUUGUUAAACUCCUCCCAAUUUCUACUUCAGCUCAAGUAGCAGAUAUUUUCACUAAGUCACUUCCUCCGGCACCAUUUUCAGAGCUUCAACACAAGCUGGGAAUACUAGAUAUUCAUUCUCCAGCUUGCAGGGGGUAUCACAGGAAGCAAAAUCAAUUGCAAGAGAAUAGUUACGUAUUGAUGACCUAAAAACUAAAGUCAGAUUAAUGAGUUAGUUAUUUAUUCUAGAAGAUCACAUGUAGAUUAGUAAGACAAUUAGUUAUUCUGUAUUCUGUAGUUUGUUAGCUUUCCCGCCACUUCUACAAAGCUUCUACAUAGAACCUUCAAUCUUGAUUGUUCAAUGAAGAAAAACUGUUGAGUUUUCUGUGCAAAUCUUUUUUCUUGUUAUGGUAUCAGAGCUAUUCUCUCUCACUGCUCUCUGUUUCUUGUAAUUCUUGCAAAUUCUCUCCCUGCUCUCUCUAGUUCUUGUGAAUUUUUAGUUUUCCAUCUAUUUCUUUUCAAUCCUUGCUUGCUGCUCAUGGCAGGUGUGAAUCAGUUACGGGAUCAUUUGUCAAAUCCAUCUAAUCCCUAUUUUCUUCAUCCGAAUGAAAAUCCUGCACUUGUGUUGGUUUCUCCAGUUCUUACUGGACCAAACUAUCACUCUUGAGCGCGAGCCAUGACUAUGGCUUUGCAAUCAAAGAACAAAGUGAGAUUCAUUGAUGGAACCCUUAGAAUGCCUGUCAACACUAAUCCUCUAUUUACCGCAUGGGAAAGGUGCAACAAUAUGGUUUAUCUUGGAUCACUCAUUCAUUGUCACAAUCGAUAGCUCAAAGCAUUCUCUGGAUCGACACAGCAGCAAA
rnacentral:misc_RNA from 1 species